GGAAUCACUGGGCUUAAAGGGUGCGCAGGCUGACUUGUAGGCAUCUUGUGAAAUCCCUCGGCUCAACCGAGGAAUUGCAGGGUGAACCACAAGUCUUGAGCCCGACAGAGGCUGUCAGAACGAUAGGUGGAGCGGUGAAAUGCGUAGAUAUCUAUCGGAAUGCCAAAGGUGAAGACAGGCAGCUGGGUCGGUGCUGACGCUCAGGCACGAAAGCGUGGGUAGCGAACGGGAUUAGAUACCCCGGUAGUCCACGCCGUAAACGAUGGACACUAGUUGUUGGGCGCAAGUUCAGUGACUAAGCGAAAGUGAUAAGUGUCCCACCUGGGGAGUACGGUCGCAAGAUUGAAACUCAAAGGAAUUGACGGGGGCCCGCACAAGCGGUGGAGCAUGUGGUUUAAUUCGAUGNAUACGCGAGGAACCUUACCAGGGCUUAAAUGUAGGAUGCAUUGUUUAGAGAUAGACAUUUCUUCGGACUUCUUACAAGGUGCUGCAUGGUUGUCGUCAGCUCGUGCCGUGAGGUGUCAGGUUAAGUCCUAUAACGAGCGCAACCCCUAUUUUUAGUUGCUAACAGUUAAAGCUGAGGACUCUAGAGAGACUGCCGGUGCAAACCGCGAGGAAGGUGGGGAUGACGUCAAAUCAUCACGGCCCUUACGUCCUGGGCCACACACGUGCUACAAUGGCCGGUACAGUGAGCAGCCACUACGCGAGUAGGCGCGAAUCUUCAAAGCCGGUCACAGUUCGGAUCGGAGUCUGCAACUCGACUCCGUGAA
rnacentral:rRNA from 1 species